UGGAUCCAGACUUUGAUUCUGGCUCAGGAUGAACGCUAGCUACAGGCUUAACACAUGCAAGUCGAGGGGCAGCAUGGUCUUAGCUUGCUAAGGCUGAUGGCGACCGGCGCACGGGUGAGUAACACGUAUCCAACCUGCCGUCUACUCUUGGACAGCCUUCUGAAAGGAAGAUUAAUACAAGAUGGCAUCAUGAGUCCGCAUGUUCACAUGAUUAAAGGUAUUCCGGUAGACGAUGGGGAUGCGUUCCAUUAGAUAGUAGGCGGGGUAACGGCCCACCUAGUCUUCGAUGGAUAGGGGUUCUGAGAGGAAGGUCCCCCACAUUGGAACUGAGACACGGUCCAAACUCCUACGGGAGGCAGCAGUGAGGAACAUUGGUCAAUGGGCGAGAGCCUGAACCAGCCAAGUAGCGUGAAGGAUGACUGCCCUAUGGGUUGUAAACUUCUUUUAUAAAGGAAUAAAGUCGGGUAUGCAUACCCGUUUGCAUGUACUUUAUGAAUAAGGAUCGGCUAACUCCGUGCCAGCAGCCGCGGUAAUACGGAGGAUUCGAGCGUUAUCCGGAUUUAUUGGGUUUAAAGGGAGCGUAGAUGGAUGUUUAAGUCAGUUGUGAAAGUUUGCGGCUCAACCGUAAAAUUGCAGUUGAUACUGGAUAUCUUGAGUGCAGUUGAGGCAGGCGGAAUUCGUGGUGUAGCGGUGAAAUGCUUAGAUAUCACGAAGAACUCCGAUUGCGAAGGCAGCCUGCUAAGCUGCAACUGACAUUGAGGCUCGAAAGUGUGGGUAUCAAACAGGAUUAGAUACCCUGGUAGUCCACACGGUAAACGAUGAAUACUCGCUGUUUGCGAUAUACAGCAAGCGGCCAAGCGAAAGCGUUAAGUAUUCCACCUGGGGAGUACGCCGGCAACGGUGCAACUCAAAGGAAUUGACGGA
rnacentral:rRNA from 1 species